UCCGACUCCGAUGCGCAGCCACCGCCCCUCACCUUCCUCCAUCUCCAUCUCACCCACCGCCACCCCCUUCUCUCCCUCGGCUGUCGCGCUUCCGGAUGGACCCGGUGAGUAGGCCGGCGGCGCUCCCCGAUCUGCUCGUCCUGCCGGCCGCGGCGAAGUGAGGCUCCAGGAUCCGCGCUCGGGGCGGCCUCGACGCAGGUGCUCGGUGUGCCCGGCCGCCCAAGACUCCGCCUUCCUCACGCUAGUGCGUCUGGAGAGGAGGAGGGGGCGGCACACACAGCCGUGCCCUGCCGUCGGCGACGACGGCGCGGCCGUGCCCUCCGACGCCGCUCUUCUGCGCGCGUGAGGACACCAACUCCACUCUCGACGACGACCGCGCCAUGGAAUGGAGCCCUUCAAGGAAGACUUUGGGUUGCUUGUAACCCGCCAUGUCACAGAUAGGGUGCCUGUUAGAAAUCUUCUAUGGGGGUAACCAACAAGCGACAAAUAUUCAGUCUUGAGGGCGCAAGUACUGAAGCUAUGAUCCAGCUGUUGAGAAUAACUGAUAAUCAUGGUGUCUUAUGUGUAACUAUUUUCUUCAGAAAUCACCAAGUACUUACUGUAAAGGUUUUCGUGUCACCGACAACUCUGCUUCACUAGUAGAUUGGGGAAGGCGGCCGCUGCCCUCGUCUCCACAUUGCCACGUCCUACUCCUCUGCUCCACAAUGUACAUGGC